AGUACUUAUUUUACACAAGCUUGACUAAGAGAGAGCCCAACUGAAUUCCUCCCAAAACAGAAGAAUAAUUUGUCACCAAGACUAAUUCUAGUUCCUACCUCUAGAAUCAUAGUAAAGUUAAAACUGGGACAGUCAGUCCCAGGACAGUUGGUCACCCCGUUCAUCUCUCCUGUGCACAUCUCUCUUUCUUGGGUAUAGUGUGUGCAUGGGCUUUGGUCCUGAUUCCUUUGUGGAAUGAGUGGGUGUGGGUGAUAGUGGUACCCCAUGGCAAGGGGGACACUGGGACAGGACUGGGAGAUGGUUUACUUAACAUAAUGACCUCCAGUUCCAUCCAUGUUGUUGCAAAUGACAGAAUCUCAUUGCAAAGGGAAACAUGGUGUGUUUGUGGAAAUGCCAAGUUUGUAGCACUUGUGUCAGAUUUAGGUGGAGGAGACCUGGAUGAAGAGGAAGAUUGUUGAGUAUUCUGAUUUGGAGACCAGGCUGGGGGUGCAUAAUAAGGUAUUGAUAAGGUACGUAGGAAAGGUUUUCUCCAGUAUUGUUGAUUUUUUUUUUUUAUUUUUUUUUUGAGACAGAAUCUUGCGCUGUUGCCCAGGCCGGAGUGCAAUGGCAUGAUCUUGGCCCACUGCAACCUCUGCCUCCUGGAUUCAAGUGAUUCUUCUGCCUCAGCUUCCCAAGUAGCUGGGAUUACAAGCACCUGCCACCAUGCCCAUCUAAGAA
rnacentral:lncRNA from 1 species